UACGUAGGGGGCAAGCGUUGUCCGGAAUCAUUGGGCGUAAAGAGCGUGUAGGCGGCCCGAUAAGUCCGCUGUGAAAGUCCAGGGCUCAACCCUGGAAUGCCGGUGGAUACUGUCGGGCUCGAAUCCGGAAGAGGAGAGUGGAAUUCCUGGUGUAGCGGUGAAAUGCGCAGAUAUCAGGAAGAACACCAAUGGCGAAAGCAGCUCUCUGGGACGGUACUGGACGCUGAGAGACGAAAGCUAGGGGAGCAAAUGGG
rnacentral:rRNA from 1 species